rnacentral:rRNA from 1 species
UAUUUUGACUAUACAAAGGUAUUGAAAUAAGAUUUUAAUUGAAUGCUAAGAGAAUGGAAUUUCAGAAAAAAACUUUUUUUAAAUUAAAAAUUGAAAUUUUUUUAAUUUGUGCAGAAACAAUUAUUAACAUUAAGGACAAGAAGACCCUAUGAAUUUUUAAAAUUUUUAAUAAUAGUAAUUUAUUAUUAUUAAAAAUUUUAGCUGGGGCGGCUAAAAAAUAUAAUUAACUUUUUAAGAAUAAAACGAUCCACUAAUAAUGAUUACAUGUUAAAUACUCUAGGGAUAACAGCGUUAUAUUUUUUGAUAGACCAUAUUGACAAAAAAGUUUGCGACCUCGAUGUUGGAUUAGGAUACUUUUUUAAUGAAGAUAUUAAAAAAAGAAGUUUGUUCAACUUUUAAUUUCCU